rnacentral:rRNA from 1 species
GCGGCAGGCUUAAUACAUGCAAGUCGAGGGGCAGCGCAGUGUAGCAAUACAUGGGCGGCGACCGGCAAACGGGUGCGGAACACGUACAGAACCUUCCUUCGAGCGGGGGAUAGCCCAGAGAAAUUUGGAUUAAUACCCCAUAGUAUAGCGGAGUGGCAUCACUUUGUUAUUAAAGAUUUAUCACUUGAAGAUGGCUGUGCGUCUGAUUAGGUAGUUGGCGGGGUAACGGCCUACCAAGGCGACGAUCAGUAACUGGUCUGAGAGGAUGAUCAGUCACACCGGAACUGAGACACGGUCCGGACUCCUACGGGAGGCAGCAGUGGGGAAUAUUGGACAAUGGGCGCAAGCCUGAUCCAGCAAUGCCGCGUGUGUGAAGAAGGCCUUCGGGUUGUAAAGCACUUUAGCCUGGAAAGAAAAAACUUUGGUUAACACCCAAAGUCUUGACGGUACCAGGAGAAUAAGCACCGGCUAACUCUGUGCCAGCAGCCGCCGUAAGAC